AGAUUGAACGCUGGCGGCAGGCCUAACACAUGCAAGUCGAGCGGAAACGAGUUAUCUGAACCUUCGGGGAACGAUAACGGCGUCGAGCGGCGGACGGGUGAGUAAUGCCUAGGAAAUUGCCCUGAUGUGGGGGAUAACCAUUGGAAACGAUGGCUAAUACCGCAUAACGCCUACGGGCCAAAGAGGGGGACCUUUGGGCCUCUCGCGUCAGGAUAUGCCUAGGUGGGAUUAGCUAGUUGGUGAGGUAAGGGCUCACCAAGGCGACGAUCCCUAGCUGGUCUGAGAGGAUGAUCAGCCACACUGGAACUGAGACACGGUCCAGACUCCUACGGGAGGCAGCAGUGGGGAAUAUUGCACAAUGGGCGCAAGCCUGAUGCAGCCAUGCCGCGUGUGUGAAGAAGGCCUUCGGGUUGUAAAGCACUUUCAGUCGUGAGGAAGGUAGUGUAGUUAAUAGCUGCAUUAUUUGACGUUAGCGACAGAAGAAGCACCGGCUAACUCCGUGCCAGCAGCCGCGGUAAUACGGAGGGUGCGAGCGUUAAUCG
rnacentral:rRNA from 2 species